rnacentral:rRNA from 1 species
AGUGAACGCUGGCGGUAGGCCUAACACAUGCAAGUCGAACGGCAGCACAGUAAGAGCUUGCUCUUACGGGUGGCGAGUGGCGGACGGGUGAGGAAUACAUCGGAAUCUACUUUUUCGUGGGGGAUAACGUAGGGAAACUUACGCUAAUACCGCAUACGACCUACGGGUGAAAGCAGGGGAUCUUCGGACCUUGCGCGAUUGAAUGAGCCGAUGUCGGAUUAGCUAGUUGGCGGGGUAAAGGCCCACUAAGGCGACGAUCCGUAGCUGGUCUGAGAGGAUGAACAGCCACACUGGAACUGAGACACGGUCCAGACUCCUACGGGAGGCAGCAGUGGGGAAUAUUGGACAAUGGGCGCAAGCCUGAUCCAGCCAUACCGCGUGGGUGAAGAAGGCCUUCGGGUUGUAAAGCCCUUUUGUUGGGAAAGAAAAGCAGCAGGUUAAUACCCCGCUGUUCUGACGGUACCCAAAGAAUAAGCACCGGCUAACUUCGUG